UUGACCUCAAAUCAGGUAGGACUACCCGCUGAACUUAAGCAUAUCAAUAAGCGGAGGAAAAGAAACUAACAAGGAUUCCCCUAGUAACUGCGAGUGAAGCGGGAAAAGCUCAAAUUUAAAAUCUGGCGGUUUCUGGACUGUCUGAGUUGUAAUCUAGAGAAGUGUUUACCUGUGCUGGACCAUGUACAAGUCUCCUGGAAUGGAGCAUCAUAGAGGGUGAGAAUCCCGUCUUUGACAUGGACUACCUGUGCAUUAUGGGUGCGCUCUCGAAGAGUCGAGUUGUUUGGGAAUGCAGCUCAAAAUGGGUGGUAAAUGCCAUCUAAAGCUAAAUAUUGGCGAGAGACCGAUAGCGAACAAGUACCGUGAGGGAAAGAUGAAAAGAACUUUGGAAAGAGAGUUAAACAGUACGUGAAAUUGCUGAAAGGGAAACGCUUGAAGUCAGUCACGUUGGCUGGAAAUCAGCCUUGCUUUUGCUUGGUGUAUUUUCUGGUCCGACGGGUCAGCAUCAAUUUUGACCAUUGGAUAAAGUCUUUUGGGAAUGUGGCAUCUUUUAGAUGUGUUAUAGCCCAUGGUUGCAUACAGUGGUUGGGAUUGAGGAACUCAGCACGCCGCAAGGCCGGGUUUCGACCACGUUUCCGUGCUUAGGAUGCUGGCAUAAUGGCUUUAAUCGACCCGUC
rnacentral:rRNA from 1 species